rnacentral:rRNA from 1 species
GACGAACGCUGGCGGCGCGCUUAACACAUGCAAGUCGAGCGAGUCGGCGGACGGGUGAGUACCGCGUGAGUAACCUGCCUUAGACAUUGGGAUAGCCUCGGGAAACCGGUAUUCAUACCAAAUGGGAUAAGAUGGACUCGCGUCCCAUUAGCGAGUUGGUGAGGUAACGGACCACCAAGGCGACGAUGGGUAGCCGGCCUGAGAGGGGGACCGGACACAGUGGAACUGAGAAACGUUCCAAACUCUACGGGAGGCAGCAGUGGGGAAUAUUGCACAAUGGAGGGAACUCUGAUGCAGCUAGGCCGCGAGAACGCAUAAGGCGUUCGAGUCGUAAAUUUCUUUUAUAUGGGAAGCGGUACCAUAAGAAAAAGCCCCGGCUAACUACGUGCCAGCAGCCGCGGUAAUAC